UCCAUCGUAACGGGAAGGGUGGUGCGCCGUGGCGGUGCUUGUUUGUUCCGUUGCGUCUCGGCGGCCGAGGCUAGGCUCGCUCAGGGCCGUGGAGGCGGCGUGACGAUGGCAUACUUCGCGGAGAGCUUCUGGGGGGAAAGGAACAAUGGCUUUGAUGUCCUCUAUCACAACAUGAAACAUGGACAUUUGUCAACAAAAGAUUUGGCAGACUUUAUAAGAGAAAGGGCUGCGAUAGAGGAGGCAUAUUCAAGGUCAAUGACAAAACUAGCCAAAUCAGCAAGAAAUUACACACAACUUGGGACAUUUGCACCAGUUUGGGAUGUUUUCAAAACUUCAGCAGAAAAACUGGCAAGCUGUCACUUGGACCUCAUGCGGAGAUUACAAGAGCUAAUAAAAGAAGUUCAUAAGUAUGGAGAUGAACAAAUCAAAACUUAUAAAAAGACUAAAGAAGAUGUUUCAGGAACAUUAGAAGCAGUGCAAAAUAUUCAAAGUAUCACUCAGGCCUUACAAAAAUCAAAGGAAAACUACAAUGCAAAGUGUGUUGAACAAGAACGUUUGAAAAAGGAAGGAGCAACACAGAGAGAAGUUGAUAAGGUAGUUCUGUGGCAUCUUAAAUUCAUUGUGUUGUCAAUCUGUAACAUUCACCUUGUACUAGUGAAAUACUCAAAAAGGGCUAAAAGUAGUUGUGGCUAUUUCAUAAUGUGCAUGAUGCUUUGAAUGCCUUGUUAUGUUUUGUUUACUCUUCCUUAAUGGUUCUAACUGCACUGCAGUUCUAAUUCUUUAUUUUGUAAUUACCUACAUCAGCUUCUAUUAUGUUCUCAGAUGCAUUUUGUUAAGUAAAUAUGCAAACAUUCAAUGCCUUUAUUAAUGAAUUAAGGAGUAGGAAGUUUUGUGUUGUCCCCUCAAGUGAGACAAAGCAGCUAAUUAUAGGAGUAUUUGAAGUCUGUUUCAUUGAGAAGAAAAGCAAGUUAACAUUACUUUCAACAAUAAUUUAAGAGGUUCCAACAACAUGGACCAAAACUCCAAGGGACUGCAUUUAGUACUCUCCUUGGGUCAUGGAGGAGCUUGAUCCAUUUAUAGAAUCACAGCAUGAUUAAGGUUGGAAGGGACCUUAGAGAAGUUGUGGAUUCCCCACCCCUAGAAGUGUUUGAGGCCAAGUUGGAUGGGGCUCUGAACAACCUGGUCUAGUGGAAUGUGUCCUUGACCAUGGCAGGAGGGUUAAAACUGGAUCAUCUUUAAGGUCCCUUCCAACCCAAACUGUUCUAUGACUAUGACCUCUGGAGGUCAUCUUGUCCAAUCCCCCUGCUCAGGCAGGAUCACCUAGAGCCAGCUGCCCUGUACUGUGACCAGAUGGCUUUUGAAGAUCUCCAAGGAUGGAGGUUCCAUAAUCUCCCUGGACAAACUGAUCCAGUGCUCAGUCACCCUUACAGUAAAAAAAGUGUUUCCUGAUGUUCAGGUGGAACCUCCUGUGUCUCAGUCUGUGCCCAUUGCCUCUGGUUCUGUCACUGAGCACCACUGAAAAGAGCCUGGGUCUCUUCUUUGCACCCUCCCUUCAGGUAUGACAUGCAUUGACAAUAUGUCUUCAGAGGCCCAGGCUGAACAGUCCCAGCUCUCUCAGAUUUUUCUCAUAGGAGAGAUGCUGC